rnacentral:lncRNA from 1 species
UCAUUUUAAAUCUCAAAAUUAUCUUCUACUAUUUACGGUAAAAAUCCAUUUGAGUUAAUUCAAUAACUAAAAUUUCACGUGAGAUUAUUUUUUUUCAAGAAAAAUAUCACUUCCUUCUUCUCAAAGGUGUAGGCCUCACAUAUGUUAUGAUUAAUGAUAAAUAUUUUUUUAAAGAUGGGCAUAUAUUUUAUCCAUUAGAUUAUUUUUUUAGUAGGACCCACAUCCAAAAAUUAAAACAUUCAUUUAUUUCUCCCUCAUUUCUUUUAAACUAGCAAUAAUUUUUUUAAAUCAUUAUACUUUCUAAUUUGUUCUCCAUUUUGUAUUAACUAUUUUUUAGGUUGUAAAACUCUAACGAAUACACCUAAGAUAUUUUUUUUUUGCAUAGUGCCCAUGGGCACAUGCAAUUACUAGUAAUAUAAAACACAAUUAUUUUUUGAUCUAAAAACUAUCUCCCACUAUCUACGUUUAAAAUUUAUUUCGUUAAGUAGAAAGCAAACUAUAGGUGAAUUAAUAGGUUUGCUACAUUUAAUGCCAAUUAAAAUUUGCUUUAUAAUAAUAAAUCAUAUGCCACUUCUAAUCAAAUAUAUAUAAUCAAUACAUAUGAUAGAGAGAAGAAGUGCAACGAUUUUACUGGUUCAGCGAAUCCUUGCUUACGUCCAGAUCUCCUUUGGAUAUUGCUUUCACAAGCUUAUGGAUACUUGCCAAACCUUUACACACUAGAAUUCGAUAGUCUUCAAGAAAUUCCCUUUCUUGGAAUAUCAACAAUAAGGUUGCGGGUGCUUAUCAAAACUUUACACACUAGAACUCGCUAGUCUUCAAGAAAUUUCUUUUCUUGGAAUACCACCACUAGAAAACCUCUAGUCUUCAUGAGCAACCUCUCUUGGAAUACAAUCUAUUAUCCAAUGUGAUUUCUCUCAAUGAAUGAAGUAAAUGUUGUAGCAAUCAAUACUCACAACCUCUAGAAGAAAAAUAAAUACAAUGAUAACUCUUCUCUAGAGUGAUUUUUCUCUAUUGAUUUUUCGAUCUUUUUCAAAUAAAACUCACAAUGAAUGAUGAAGAGUUGAAGUGUUGUUUAUAAGUAUAACAUGAAUUUAUAGCACUUCAAUGUCUUUCCAACAACCCCAAGGGUUGUAUUUAUAAGCCCAAAUUAAAAUAUAGCCAUUCUAGCAUUGAAUGCAUUGAACUAGAUGUUCUGUUUUGAACUUAGUCGUUGGAUCUGGAAUUUUGACGCGCAUGAUUAAAACCUGGAACUUAAGUCGACCUAUCUUAACUUAGGUCAUCCCCAAUUAGUUUUGUUCCAACUUAGGUCGACCUAACUUCACUUUAGGUCGUCAGCUAAGCUCUCUGAUCAAACUUAGGUUGUUAGCUUUUGAAACAUGGGUCAACCUAUCUUCACUUUAGGUCGUCAGGAAAACUUUUUGAUCAAACUUAGAUUGUCAGCUUCUGAAACAUAGGUCGACCUAACUUAAUUUAGGUCGUCAACUACGGUCAAACCUAAUUGUGACCUUUGAUGCAGCUUGACAGUUUCUGAUUUUUUUUUUUUCCAAAACACAAUAGUUAACAUAUUUCAAAAAUUGACUUUUAGGGACUUUGUUUGAAGCCUCAAUAAGUUCCCCCCCACGAGCAUUGUAACAUUAGCCUUGUGACUUGUGAAAACGUAUGGGAUUUAUAGUCUGGACCCCCCGAGUAGGAUCAUUUAUCCUCAAUUAUAUUUAUUUGUAAAGCAUGACGCAAAUCACCGACCCUCCUAUUUUCCAUUUACCUUAUCAAAUCAAAACAAAUCAUGUUAUUCAAAGUGUGCAUGUGUUAUAGCUUCAAAUAAAACUUGCGAGACGUGUGUUGGAGUUGAAACAAGUAUUUCUUUUUUUUCUAAUCCACCUUUGAUUUCACAUUUCUCGUUUAAAUGAUUUUCAAAGUAUAUUUUAUUAAAUAUCAUUUAAUAUUAAUUAAGUUCAAUCAUCAAAAUCGAUUAAAAUUUUAUGCUAACACAUUUAAAUUAAUCUAACGGCCUAGAUUUCACUUGAAAUUAUUUAUUUUUCUCCCAAAAAUAUCACUUCAUUUCUCUCAAAGGUGUGGUGCUCACAUAAGUUUUUAUCCAAUGGCCAAAAACCUUUAAAGUAAAGCAUAUUUUUCAUCGCUUGGAUCAAUAUUUUAGUGGGAUCCACAAAAAUAAAUAAAUUAAAUACCUCUUUAUUUAUUUUCAUUUCUCUCAAAUUAGCAACACUUUUUUUGAUUGUAAAAUAACUAUAACGAGUAUGCCUAAGAGUUGGUUUUUUUGGGGGGAGCGUAGUGUCUAUGGGCAUAAGCAACUACUAGUCUAUAAUAUAAAAUACAAUUCAUUUUGAAUUUCAAAACUUCUUAAAUUUCAAAACUAUGUUUCACUAUCUACAUUUAGAAUCCAUAUGAAUUAAUCCAAUGGAUGAGAUUUCACUUGAAUUUUUUUUUCUUCCAAAAACUAUCACUUCCUUCUUGUCAAAGAUGUGGGCCCCAUAUAGGUUAA